AGAAAUUCAACCAAGCGCGGG
rnacentral:snRNA from 1 species